CCAGGCACGUUUCUAACCGUGUACUGGAACAAUACAUAGUCUGCGAUUCUCUUUCUCCCUCUUUUCUCCCUCCGGUUAACACGUGAAAUUCGGCCUUAGAAAACACACGCGCGCGCGCGCACACACACACACACACACACACGAUGGAAUUUGUUCCAUAUCUUUUUUUUUUUUUUUUAAAACCUUCGAGAGGCAUAAAUCCAAACCUAAAAUUAAAAACAUCCCCAAAUUUGGUUUUGGGAAUCAUGUUGGCUUUUCCUCUUCAGCGGCAUUCCUUCCCCAGUGCUGCAUAAGGACUGCUACUUUCUCGAGGAGGGAAGUAUCAAAAGGAAACGGUGUGUGUGUGCGCGCGCGCGCGUUUAUUUUUGGCGCAUGCACACCCCUCGGUAGCCUCAAGGUCGGCGACACCCUGAGCAUUCGGGCCCCCGCCUACAGGGCUUGUUCCUGCCAGCCAAGGACUCGAGAAGGUGGGAGUCCCCAGUCUCGGCGGGGCGCCUGGGACUCGGUUCAGUGUUUAGCACAGUCAGUACCGAAGCAGGGGCAGCCAGGUGGGAGCUGAGCGCCCCAAAGGUGGACCCCAAUCAGCAGCGAGUGGGCAGCGGGGACCUGACUCGCCGGCGCCUCGGGGCUCCCCGGCCGGCUCUCUGCGCCCUGAAGCUGGGUAUCUGGGGGCGCUCUCCCGGGCCGCAAGCAGGCACGGAAUUUGACGCCCGGAGAGGCAGCUGGUCCUGCUUAGGACUCCUGAUUCUCCUCAGAUGGAAACAGUUUCUCCCGGUGAACCUGCCCGAAUUCCCAGUGGACUCGCACUUCGGCUUUGCCCACUGGCGCAUUUAACCAAGGCCGCAUUUACCGCUUUGAGGCAAAUUUGAGCUUCAAAUGGAGCGAGACUCCUGGUUGCAGAACAAGGUUCAUGAAAUUUUCAGGAAUUAAAAGUUAGUCCUGAGGAAAGUUCAUGAAUGUCUAAUGCUGGGCUGUGAUUCUUGCAGAGACAACUACAAAAGGAUGGACUCCAGCAAGAGGAAAAGUGAAUCUAAGGAAUGGAGUGGGAUAUAAGCAAUAGUGGUGAGUAGAAAUAGUAGUAAAAUUAGAACAUUUAGUUCUAAUAUAAAUCAGUGAUUUUAUUGGAAAAAAAAAAAAAGUUAGGUCAGCUGAAUUUAUUUCCGCUAAACUCUCUGCCUGUGGUUUCAACUAUUUUCAGUUUAGUGAUUCAUUCUUAUUUAAGUAUUACCUGUUUCUCUCACUAGCCCACCAUUACGACACUAAGAAAACAUAAUAGGUACUCAAAAAAUAUUUCUCCAGUGAAUAAAUGUAUUUUCAUUUGAAUUUUAAGAACAGUUUUUGAUGAGAGAUAGCAUUUCCUUGAGAUUAAGUAUCUGAAAAUAUGCUAUAGUUUUAGCUCUACUUUAAUCAGUCUUUGUUCUGGAACAAAAUACUAUAGCUUCUUUAGAUUCUGCUUUCUCACUGAAAUUGAGGAUGAUAAUAUAUACCUUAUUAAUUCCUCAAGAAGUUGAGGUUAAAAAAAGGUAAAGUGCAUGACUGAAUAAUAUGUUUGAGAUUUAUUUUUUCAUCUAUUUAUAUGCCUCAUUGUCUAGUGGCCAGAUAAACAUUUAAUGCUUCACUGAAAGUAUAUCCAAAUCAGGAUGCAAAAGUAGCUUGCAAGGUCUCCUAUAUUUCCUUUCAGAAAAUUAAGCAAGGAUUAAAAAGAAGAGUAAAUGAGGGAGACCAGAGAAAUUCUAAGAACCUAGGCAAGGGUCCUCUCAGCAGGAAGCUGUAAGACCAUGGUAAACAAUAUUUGCAUGGUAUCCUUAGGCACACUGUACCAAAGGCAGCCUCAAAAAUAUUUUUUUAUAUGAUUGUUGCCUAGAACUGCCAUACCAGAAUGAGCUACAUGGACGGGGAAUGGAUAUCAAAACAUGGAACCAAGUAUUUGAGGGCCUUCCCCCAAACACUUUAGGGCUACAUUUGAUUCUGAGACCAUGAAUGGAGUCUUUAGGGGAUUGAGAUGUGAAUGACAAUGCUCAAGAAUGGCAAACUGGAUUUUUCAUCUAUCUCAGUGUGCAAAUAAGUUGAUUUGAAAAUCUGUGAACUGUACUGUAUUAUCGGAUGGGAAUGUCAAUUCUUCCUGAAUUAAGAUGUGAGUUUGGCACAAUUCCAGUCCAGAGAAUUGUAUCCUUUGUUUGUUUUUACAAUAAGACAGUUAUAAAAAAGAAGCUGAAUGAUACAUUAAUGUUAAAAGUCAGACUUUUGGUGAAAAGUGGUCUUGGUCUCAAAAUAGGCAUUCACUUGGUACUUCCUAAUAAGUCAAUUGUUGAAAAAGUCCAGGUUCCAUUUAUGUUCUGUUAUCUUUUCACCUGGAGUUUUUGAUUAUUGAAACUGGUGGUAUGGCUACUUGCUGAUAGUGAGCUGCCACAAAAUGUAUGUGUUUGGAUUUAAAUGUUUAAUCUUAGGGCAGCAGAUGAAUUCCAGCUCUUGUAAUCUCUACUGAGGUCUCUUCUGCUUUCAUGCUGUCCAUCGUUCUGACUAGUAACAGUCUUCCAUUCAUUGAUUUUCUACAAGACAAAAUGUAAACUUAAUAAAUAUUUUUUGCUUUUUUGCACUACAUAUUUAAAAGAAGUUAUAUAAUUUAGGUCAAGAGUUAAAGAAAUAUCAAUACCUGGACACAAGUGUACAUUAAUUGAUAGCAUCCAUGUUUGACACUAACAGAUUUGAAGGUCUGCAUAGAGAAGUAUCCCAUAAUUAAUUAGUCUACUGGAAUGAAAAAAUUUCCAAAGACAUACAGUGAGGAUUCUGGUUCUUUGCAGUUUCAGAAAAACUUGUUUGGAGAAAAAUCUUUUGGAAAUGCAUAUUUUCCUUUUCAAAGUCAUCUUGAACUGCUUUGAAAUUAUGAGCAAGAAGAAGACUCAUAUCUGUUUUUCUUUAGUCACAUUUUAAAACAUUUUAGUAAAAUAUAUAAAUAAUAGAUGAUGAUCAUUUUCACAUCUAAUAAAAUUAAUGGUUUUGACAUUAAGACAGGAGUCUUGUUGGGCAUACAAAGCAGCCAAUGUAGUUAGGGAAGUAUAUUUUUCAGAGUCCAGUUAGGUAAUAGAAACCCCAGCAAUUGUUUUAACAAGAGAAUUUAAUACAAAUAAGUGUCAGCCAGGAAUUGAAAACCUGAAAAAAGAGAACACUACAUUUUUCACAGAGAUUCUCUAAUGUUGGGGAAUAAAAGGGAGAGGCUAGGGUUAUUAAAGUUUAGAAGCUUUGAUGAAGGACUCAGUGAGCUAAGACAAACUUCCGAGAAAGCGUGUUGCUGAGUUGUGAUGCUGCCUCAGGAAUGCCACGAAAUGCUGUGUGCUAGGACCCACACCUUUGAGUAGGGGGCACCAGUUGGCAUUACCUGACAUCUGUGAGGGGGCAGAACAAUGUUGGUUCUAUGGUUGUUGAACAAAAUGCAAACUAGAAUCAGUUGUACUAUUGGAACAACUAGCAACUAUCAGGGUAAAGCACUGCUCAGUUAUGCUGAGAAUAGGAAACAAAUCAGGAACAGGAAACAGCCUAGCAGGAAAGUAUCCUUUCUUCAUCUUCUAUUCUUCUAAUAUCUCUCUUUGCUGUCCCCUUUUGGUAGCCUAAUAAUAAUUUAGCUGACAACAGAACUGUGGUUUCCAGAGUCCCAGCCCCAUAGGUGAAAUAAGGAAGAAUGGUUUGAAUCUAAGAGACAAUAGCUUAACAAUGAAUAUGGGGAAAAACAAAAUAAAACUUACUUGUUUUUCUUGCCUUCUCUAUGAUUAUUUCAUCAGAAACAUGUUCAAUACUUUCAGCUUUCCAUAUUUUAGAUAAAAGUAACCAUUUUUUAUAAAAUACUUUUUUUCUUACUGAAUUAUGGAGUGUGAAAAGAGAGUAGUUGAAUAAAGGUUGAUAGCUAAACAUAUGCAUGUAUUUUCUACAAGUCUUUUAAGAUAGCCUAAAAUAUAUUUUUAUAUUCUAAAUCUUAUGUAAUAAAAAAUAAUUCAUGACAGGAAUAAUUAAGGAAGAUAGCAUGGAUUUGCUUCAUGUAGAAGAACACUGUAGAAAAGGCACAGCACAAAAGAAAGCAGAAUCCCAUCAGAGAUGUGGGUGUGAUCUCCAGGGAGCUCCAAGCUCAAAGUAAAUGAAUUUAAGGCAGGCAUAGUUUCUGGAACAUUGGGUUCAGUAGUAGUGUAAUUGUUUUCUGAGCCUGAGAACCAGUCAGCCUCCCUUUUCUUCUCCAAUUGUGCUGAGCCAUGGAAUGUUACAAUUUACUGUCAUGAUAAAGUAAUGAGUGUAGGCUUUGAGGCCUGAUUAGUUAGUUCUUUAGAAAGCUGUGACCAGGUGUCUGUUCAUGACUUUUGCCCAUUUUUAAUGGGGUAGUUGUUUUUUGCUUGUUCAAUUGUUUGAGUUCCUUUUAGAUUCUAGAUAUUAAAACUUUCUAGAUUUUGGACAGUAAAACAGUGAUAUGGAGUACGAAGAGGACCAGACAAGCAACUAUUGACUGAGAAAAUCUAUCCCUAUAAGGAAGAGUCACCAAAUUCAACAAAUAGACUUUCUACCUGAAAAUGUCAUUUGACUACAAAGUAUUUUAAAAGCUUUAAUUGAUAUUGAAGAAAGGAUAUAAUAUCUAUAAAAAGUAAGGCAUUAUGUGAAGAAGAUAGGUAACUUUGUAAUUUAAAUACAGUGGUACAAAUUUAAAGAUCUCAUUAAUUAGCUUAAUGGCAAAAUAGACACCACUGAUGAGUAGCAAGUCAAAGGUUUCUCCAGUAUGGAGAAAAAAACAGAUAUUUAAAAUGACAGAAAGUUUAUAUUAUAUAGAAGAAGCAUCAAGAAUGUACAGUGUAUCUAUUUUCUAAGCAUUCCAAGCACAUAGAACAGAAAAGGUGGAAGAGAAGAAAUAAUCACAGCAGUUAUUAUAAAAUAUUUUCAGAGUGAAAUAUAACACCAAUUAAAAGUAACCAGUGGAUUAAGUAACAAAAGACACAUAUGUUUGUUUAUUGUGUUCAAUGACAUAUCUCUACCACACAGAACACUGCUUGAUACAUAGUAGGUGCUCAAUAAAUAUUUAUCAAAGGAAUGAAUUAGUCUAAACAUAAAAAGGCAAAUUUUGAGAACACUAAUGAUAAAGAAAAAAAUCUAAGUUAAUCUACAAAGAAAAAAAAAGAAAUGGAAAUAAAAAUUUUGUAAGACUUACCAAAAAGAGAUUCUAAGUGGGACAAAAUUUCAGAUUCUGAAGGAAUUGAUUUUGAGCCUAAAUUCUUAUAGCCAGUUACAUUAGCAUUUAAGUACGAAUGUAGAAUAAGAAUUUACAAACAUGCUAAAACUCAGAAAGAUAAUCAUUCACAUAUUCUGUAAAAUGAAUAUUUAAGCUUGUCACGAAACAAAAUGAAUUGAAGAGGGACAUAGAUUGGUGAGCAAAUAAAUCAAUGAAGCAUGUAGUGAAGUUCAUACAAUUGUGGUUUAUUGAAAACAAAGAGCUAUUUGGGACUAAAAUCCCCAAAGAGCUCACCAGAAGAAAUAGUGAGUCAGGGGUUAGAGGAAGAGCAGAAUGGGGAAUAGCAGGUUGAAAGAAAAGAAAGCAUUCCUGUUUUCUUCAAUAGGUUAGUAUACAAAUAUAUUAAUUUUAAAAAAUGUGUUUGAACCUAAAGGAAAUCUUAGAUUAAAUGUUCUUAAAAUGCAGAGUACAUAGACUCCUUUUAUUUUUUUUAAAUAUUGAAUCACAUGAUAUGAGCAUUUUUAGCAUUGAUAGAUACUGGCAAAUUCUCUGCAGUGAAGUAUAUCAAUUUAUGUUCUAACAACAGCUUUUUCAACUAUUCAUUCCCUAUACCUUCACAACACUUGAUAUAAUUAAGCUGUCUUCCCUCAGCUACCAUAUUAUGCAUAUGAUUUUGCAACUUGCUAUUUAUUUUAACAAUGUGUAGUAACCAUUACUUGAGGUGAGUAAAUGAAAGAUCCAACUCAUUUUUUAAACAGGUGCAUAAUGUUUUAUGGUAGCUGUAUUUAUUCUGAUUAUGCCAAUUUUAUUGCUGGCACUAUUGUUUAUAAUAAAAGUUAUUAAAUAUUAUGUAAAGAAACAUUGGCGGGUCAAAUAACAAAUGAGUAUCUAAUUUGUGCAUACUGCUCUUUGAUUUCUUUCAUAUAGUGAAUUAAAUAACAAAAGACACAUACUUCCGUGUCUUUUGAUUAAGCUAUUUAUUUUUUUGACCACUCAGUCAAAAACACUGCUUUAAUUCAUUCAUAAUUCUUAUUACUGUCUGAAAAGUUUUAUUCAUUUACGUUUUUCUAGUAUCUCACUUUGUUCACUUUUAGAAUGUAUACUCUUUUAGGCAGGGAACUUGACCAACUUUCUUUAUGCCUGAUAUUUAUAGUAGUUAAUAAGCAAAUACAAGAAUGAAGGAAUGAGUGAAUGCCAGUGUCUUCCUACCUACUUACUUUUGUUUUUGCUGUUCCCUCUACCAAAAAUGUAACCUGUCAAGUUGUAUUUAUUCUUCAACACCUAGUUCCAAUUCCUUUUUAUUAAUAAACUAUCCCUAGAUCCACUUGCCCAAAUAAGUGGCUUUCUCCAUUACUCAUGCCUUACAAGUACCCUAUACUGUUGUACUCUUACUCUUACCUCAUUCUGACUUCCACCUUAAAAACAUCAGUAGUUGCCCAAACAUCAGUAGUUGCCCAAACAAUUUGUUUUCUCAGUAGAUUAUAGAUUCCUUGAAGACAGAGCCUAUGUCUGUUCAUUUUUCUGUCCUCCAGAGCACCAUCAUUGUGCCUUACACUUGACAGAAUGUUGUUUAACUGAAUUGAGUAAUUACUGUAAGUACCUUAAUACUUUUUGUAGCAGGCUUAGUGGAAAAGUAAUAUAAUUUGAAAUCAGAAAAAAAGUAUGAAACCUAGUUCUUUCAGUCUUAGCUGUGUGAUAUUAUUUUUCAAUUAAGCCCAUGUACCCUUUCCUCACCUGUAAAGAAGGAUUAUAAUUCCUAAAUAGCAAGGUUGAAGUGAAGAGUAAACAUGAAACAUACAUGUGAAGUAAACAUGAAGAGUCUAUAUAAUGCAUAGUUGUUGGAACACAGUAGGUAAAUAUUUGUUGAUUUACUUCUUUGUUCAGUAAACAUUUGAUGGCCUACCGUGUGCCAGACAAUGAUUGAUGGUGUUGAUGAUGAUAAUAAUGAAGAAGAAAGAGAUGAUGAUGAAGUCACAAGCUUCAAUUGAAUUCCCAUUAAUGAAUGCUUGUAAUUUUGGGGAAUGGUGAAAAACAAUGACAUAGAUUCUCACUUAAGUAAUUUGGUGUUCAGGUAUGUACUAUUGAGCAACAAUAAAAUUUCAGUCUUGAGAUGUCAUUUUAUUAGAUCAAAUUCUCUUUCAAUUGAAAAAUUAGUAAAUAUAGAAUCCCUUUUUAAUUGUAAGUCUCAAAAUAAAAGUGAAGAACAUCUCAUUUACUUUUGAGGUUCUGUUAUAUGAAGUAAACAAUAGAUUUAUGUAACAUUAGCAUGUAGAGUAGAAAAGAAAGUCUUGAAUAUUAAAUCUGUGAAUAUAAUAAAAGUAAACUAAGAUUAGGAACCGCAUUUCAAAUUUAAAAAUGUUCUCAACCAAACAAAUUUUAAAAGCAGACAGCUCAAAUGUAUAACCUUAACCAUCUAUCUAGUUUUUUGAAAUAAAAUACAGUUUUAUUAUGGUGUAUUCUGCUUCUGGGGAAAAUACAGUAAUGUCAGUAAUUGGGAAAAGUUGGAAAAUUUUUAUUAAUCAAAACACAGACUAAAAUUAUGCCCCAAAUUGCAUUUGCAGUAAUUUUCUUUAUGCUUCUCCAUUUCUAGCAUGUAAGAUGAGCUUUCUCAGCCCCUUUCUUGGAAAGUAUAUAUUAAUGAUUUUCAGAUUAUGACUUCUUCAUUAUUUUAUUAGAAGUUGAGAGAGUUCAGAAUGUUGUCAAUCACAUACAUGAUUUUUUAAUAGUGACUUUUGGAUUCUUAUGA